CAGCACCAGGAGGGGAGCCUGCGGCUUAAUUUGAAUCAAAACGGGGAAACUUACCAGGUCCGGACAUAGGAAGGAUUGACAGAUUGAGAGCUCUUUCUUGAUUCUAUGGGUUGUGGUGCAUGGCCGUUCUUAGUUGGUGGAGUGAUUUGUCUGGUUAAUUCCGUUAACGAACGAGACCACAGCCUACUAAAUAGUGAUGCGUGUGGCGACACACGUAGAUUGCUUCUUAGAGGGACAUUUCGGGUCUACCGGAAGGAAGUUUGUGGCAAUAACAGGUCUGUGAUGCCCUUAGAUGUUCCG
rnacentral:rRNA from 1 species